GUGAAGACUUGUCAGCCACUGUUGGAGAUGAGAGAGCAUGAGAGGGAAAGUGCUGCACUGAUUAGGACCAUGGCACAUCCCCCUGCACAGCUGACCUGCCCAGAAAUAAUCCUGGUUAGAUAAGAAGAGGCAAGGAGAUGCCCAUGGCUCAGAUGCUCAGCCACAGCUGAAAUACAGGAGAGAGAUACAGCCUGCACAGGUUGUCAUCUUGUACCUCUCAAGGAGACUGGACCACAGAGGGCAAUCUGCCAUAGACAACUUAACAACCUUACUGGGCAUCAUAGUUAUCUGAAGGAGGAAGGAUCUCACUAUGAUGCAUACAGGCACCAACAACCCCUAUCCAGUCAAUUUAAAAUGUUUUAAAUUUUUGAAUUGCUAUAAUCUCUGAAUGUGUUAGAUGUUUCAAUUGCUGUUUUAAUGGUUGGUUUUAUUUUGUUUUUAUUGUGUUUAUUUUUGUGAACUGCCUAGACUUUGGAGUCAGGCAGUAUAUAAAGAAAUAAAAUAAAUAAAUGCUAUGUUCCUAUGA